rnacentral:rRNA from 1 species
UACAGAGGUGGCAAGCGUUGUUCGGAAUCACUGGGCGUAAAGCGCACGUAGGCGGAUGUGUCAGUCAGGGGUGAAAUCCCGGAGCUCAACUUCGGAACUGCCUCUGAUACAGCACGUCUUGAGUCCGAUAGAGGUGGGUGGAAUUCCUAGUGUAGAGGUGAAAUUCGUAGAUAUUAGGAAGAACACCGGUGGCGAAGGCGGCCCACUGGAUCGGUACUGACGCUGAGGUGCGAAAGCGUGGGGAGCAAACAGG